AUGAACUCGAUAAAGGACAGAAAUGGUAUGGACCUAACAGAAGCAGAAGAUAUUAAGAAGAGGUGGCAAGAAUACACAGAAGAACUGUACAAAAAAGAUCUUCACGACCAAGAUAAUCACAAUAGUGUGAUCAUUCAUCUAGAGCCAGACAUCCUGGAAUGUGAAGUCAAGUGGGCCUUAGAAAGCAUCACUAUGAACAAAGCUAGUGGAGGUGAUGGAAUUCCAGGGGAGCUAUUUCAAAUCCUGAAAGACAAUGCUGUGAAAGUGCUGCACUCAAUACGCCAGCAAAUUUGGAAGACUCAGCAGUGGCCACAGGACUGGAAAAGGUCAGUUUUCAUCCCAAUCCCAAAGAAAGGCAAUGCCAAAGAAUGCUCAAACUACCGCCCAAUUGCGCUCACCUCACAUGCUAGUAAAGUCAUGCUCAAAAUUCUCCAAGCCAGGCUUCAGCAAUACAUGAACUGUGAACUCCCUGAUGUUCAAGCUGGUUUUAGAAAAGGCAGAGGAACCAGAGACCAAAUUGCCAACAUCUGCUGGAUCAUGGAAAAAGCAAGAGAGUUCCAGAAAAACAUCUAUUUCUGCUUUAUUGACUAUGCCAAAGCCUUUGGCUGUGUGGAUCACAAUAAACUGUGGAAAAUUCUGAGAGAGAUGGGAAUACCAGACCACCUGACCUGCCUCUUGAGAAAUCUGUAUGCAGGUCAGGAAGUAACAGUUAGAACUGGGCAUGGAACAACAGACUGGUUUCAAAUAGGAAAAGGAGUACGUCAAGGAUGUAUAUUGUCACCCUGCUUAUUUAACUUCUAUGCAGAGUACAUCAUGAGAAAUGCUGGACUGGAAGAAGCACAAGCUGGAAUCAAGAUUGCCGGGAGAAAUAUCAAUAACCUCAGAUAUGCAGAUGACUCCACCCUGAUGGCAGAAAGUGAAGAGGAACUAAAAACCCUCUUGAUGAAAGUGAAAGAGGAGAGUGAAAAAGUUGGCUUAAAGCUCAGCAUUCAGAAAACGAAGAUCAUGGCAUCUGGUCCCAUCACUUCAUGGGAAAUAGAUGGGGGAACAGUGGAAACAGUGUCAGACUUUAUUUUUUUGGGCUCCAAAAUCAUUGCAGAUGGUGACUGCAGCCAUGAAAUUAAAAGACACUUACUCCUUGGAAGAAAAGUUAUGACCAACCUAGAUAGCAUAUUCAAAAGCAGAGGCAUUACUUUGCCAACAAAGGCUAUGGUUUUCCAGUGGUCAUGUAUGGAUGUGAGAGUUGGACUGUGA
rnacentral:lncRNA from 1 species